GGAACGAUGGUAAAUAAUCGUAAUCGGUUACCAAGUUACCUGAAAUUAAAAAUAAUCUUCGUUUGCAGGUUUUUAUUCAUCUUCUUAAUAUUGGACAAUACGUAAAUUGUGUGUGAAGAUCCAAUGUUCAUGAUGAAAACUUUUACAUCAAAUCAAACAUCGAAGAGGAAGUUAAAGCAACGAGUGCUACUCACCGUGGAUAUCGAACAAUCGUUUCGUACUGAGAGGAGGGCUAAUAUGCCGAGCCAGCAAAGGCGAUUUGCUUGGAUACAGCUUGUCAAUGUCUGCCAAGCGAUUCAGAUGAUCAGCCCAAGCUUGCUCAGGGUCGAAUGGUUUCGCUGUAUUGUGAUAUUCAUGGCAAUGAAACAAAAAUUCGCUCGUGGCAAUCAUGCAUCCCUGUCUAUCUCACCCUUUCUGAACUUUUUCAUGUUGGCUCGAAAUAAUUGGAUAUUCAUCGCAAUUAUUCUAGGUUUGACCUAUACAGGAACGCAAUCGAUAGACUUAUGCAACAUCGAGAAUUCAACAGUUCGUCAAGCAUUACGUGACUUUUAACAUUUAAUGCGCGUUGUUAUAUGAAAUAUUGAUUUGUAAUUGAAGACAAGGCGAAUUUCUCGACGUUACGUGCUUAAACAAAAUGAAGAUUACUGAGAAUGUUUGUUAACUCAAACUGCGACCUCCACCUCAGCUGCAAUAAUUAAUGUCUUCUAAAUAUUAUUUGUCAUCAUGGACAAAAAAGCAAAAAAAUGAAAAGUCCUUCAAUUCCUUCAACGCCAAAAAAUGAAAAAUCAAAAAUGAUCUGAAGCGUAAGCGAAACGCAACGAAAAAUAUUGUUGCAUUCCAAUAUAAAUCCUCGUCCGUGAAUAAUUUGAAUAAUCAUCUUAAAAAAUACCAUCAAAAAUGUCAUAAUGCUAUAGAUGCAUAAUAUCACAUUAUGUGAAAGAUAUGCACAUUAAUAUCCAAUUACAUCAUUUGUAAUGGAAGAAGCAACCUUGAGUGGUUAAUUGAUUUUCGACAGACUGUAGCACAUCAAUUCAUCAUAUCUGUUGCUAAAUUAUUUUCUAUAAAUUAUGUUACUUUUUAAAAUUGCUUAUAAUUCAACAUAUGUUGUAUUUAGUCUGUAUGAAGAUCUGCAGCAUAUGUUAUAUUAUCGAUUUAA